rnacentral:rRNA from 1 species
GACGAACGCUGGCGGCAUGCCUAAUACAUGCAAGUCGAGCGAACAGAUGAAGUGCUUGCACUUCUGACGUUAGCGGCGAACGGGUGAGUAACACGUAAGGAAUCUACCUAUAAGCGGGGGAUAACAUUCGGAAACGGGUGCUAAUACCGCAUAAUAUCUUCUUCCGCAUGGAAGAAGAUUGAAAGACGGCUCUGCUGUCACUUAUAGAUGACCUUGCGGUGCAUUAGUUAGUUGGUGGGGUAACGGCCUACCAAGACGAUGAUGCAUAGCCGACCUGAGAGGGUGAUCGGCCACAUUGGGACUGAGACACGGCCCAAACUCCUACGGGAGGCAGCAGUAGGGAAUCUUCCGCAAAGGGCGAAAGCCUGACGGAGCAAUGCCGCGUGAGUGAAGAAGGCCUUCGGGUCGUAAAACUCUGUUAUAAGAGAAGAACAAAUUGUAGAGUAACUGCUACAGUCUUGACGGUAUCUUAUCAGAAAGCCACGGCUAACUACGUG